rnacentral:rRNA from 1 species
UACAUUUGAGUGAGUGGCGAACUGGUGAGUAACACGUGGGAAACCUGCCCAGAAGCGGGGGAUAACACCUGGAAACAGAUGCUAAUACCGCAUAACAACUUGGACCGCAUGGUCCGAGCUUGAAAGAUGGCUUCGGCUAUCACUUUUGGAUGGUCCCGCGGCGUAUUAGCUAGAUGGUGGGGUAACGGCUCACCAUGGCAAUGAUACGUAGCCGACCUGAGAGGGUAAUCGGCCACAUUGGGACUGAGACACGGCCCAAACUCCUACGGGAGGCAGCAGUAGGGAAUCUUCCACAAUGGACGAAAGUCUGAUGGAGCAACGCCGCGUGAGUGAAGAAGGGUUUCGGCUCGUAAAACUCUGUUGUUAAAGAAGAACAUAUCUGAGAGUAACUGUUCAGGUAUUGACGGUAUUUAACCAGAAAGCCACGGCUAACUACGUGCCAGCAGCCGCGGUAAUACGUAGGUGGCAAGCGUUGUCCGGAUUUAUUGGGCGUAAAGCGAGCGCAGGCGGUUUUUUAAGUCUGAUGUGAAAGCCUUCGGCUCAACCGAAGAAGUGCAUCGGAAACUGGGAAACUUGAGUGCAGAAGAGGACAGUGGAACUCCAUGUGUAGCGGUGAAAUGCGUAGAUAUAUGGAAGAACACCAGUGGCGAAGGCGGCUGUCUGGUCUGUAACUGACGCUGAGGCUCGA